UACGUAGGGUGCAAGCGUUAAUCGGAGUUACUGGGCGUAAAGCGUGCGCAGGCGGUUGUGCAAGACAGAUGUGAAAUCCCCGGGCUUAACCUGGGAACUGCAUUUGUGACUGCACGGCUAGAGUGUGUCAGAGGGGGGUAGAAUUCCACGUGUAGCAGUGAAAUGCGUAGAUAUCUGGAGGAACACCGGUGGCGAAGGCGGCAUCCUGGACCGACACUGACGCUGAGGAGCGAAAGCCAGGGGAGCAAACGGG
rnacentral:rRNA from 1 species